GAUUUUCCAAAGGGUUUGGAAAAGUUUUGGAAUUCCAUGGAAUUCCAAACAUUUCCAUACAAGAGUCUAAAAGUGUUUUUGGAAGUUUUUGGAAUCUUUUGGAAUUUGAAUAACAAAUUUGGACUUAGACAUUUUGAGGUUUGGAAAGUUGUGGAAUUCUAUGGAAAAGCUGAUAAAAUGAGAAACUUAGACAUUUUCUGCUCUGGAAAGCUGUGGAAAAUAACUUAGAAUUUUUUCUUAAACUGUCGGCUCAUAGUACAAUUACGUCGGGAUCGAUGUCGGGCUCGAUGAACAAUUAAUUUAAACUACAGCCCGCCAAAAUUCAACAAUUCGGCUGCCAUGUUGUAUUGUUGGACAGAAGGAAAGAGAGUGUCACGAAGAAGGGAACUGCUGUCAUUAUUAGCUUGGAAUGGAAUUUGUAUUUUGACAAAAGAUGCAGACAUUUUAAGACCCGCUGAAGUACUCGAUUUGCACAGCGCCGGCAUAUAAUCAUCAAGUUUGAUGAAAUGUCCUAAUAUGUAGAUGUAGAUGCUAAGUCAUUCAGUCACCUAGCUUGUGAGAAUGGAAUGCUCACAAAAAGGACAAGAGCGAGAGAGCUGUAUGGAAAUUUACACAAAGGGUCAGUUAACGGAGUAAGCUGAUAUGGAGGAUAAUAUAUCAAAGGCAGCAUAGGCGUCCAAACUCCUGUUCAAGGUGCUUUUAAUCAGAAGCUUAAGAGACAAAAGACGAGCCAUUGACAAGGCAAAACUGAAUGUUUUAUA